GACGAACGCUGGCGGCGUGCUUAACACAUGCAAGUCGAACGGAAAGGCCCUGCUUGUGUGGGGUGCUCGAGUGGCGAACGGGGGAGUAACACGUGAGUAACCUGCCCUUGACUUUGGGAUAACUUCAGGAAACGGGGGCUAAUACCGGAUAGGAGCUCCUGCUGCAUGGUGGGGGUUGGAAAGUUUCGGCGGUUGGGGAUGGACUCGCGGCUUAUCAGCUUGCUGGUGGGGUGGGGGCUUACCAAGGCUUUGACGGGUAGCCCGCCUGGGAGGGUGACCGGCCACCUUGGGCCUGCGAUACGGCCCAGACUCCUACGUGAGGCAGCAGUGGCGAAUAUUGCCCAAUCGGCGCACGCCUGAUGCAGCAACCCCGCGUGCGGGAUGACGGCCUUCGGGUUGUAAACCGCUUUCGCCUGUGACGAAGCGUGAGUGACGGUACUGGGUAAAGAAGCACCGGCUAACUACGUG
rnacentral:rRNA from 1 species